UACGUAGGGUGCGAGCGUUGUCCGGAAUUACUGGGCGUAAAGAGCUCGUAGGUGGUUUGUCGCGUUGUUCGUGAAAACUCACAGCUUAACUGUGGGCGUGCGGGCGAUACGGGGCAGACUGGAGUACUGCAGGGGAGACUGGAAUUCCUGGUGUAGCGGUGGAAUGCGCAGAUAUCAGGAGGAACACCGGUGGCGAAGGCGGGGUCUCUGGGCAGUAACUGACGCUGAGGAGCGAAAGCGUGGGGAGCGAACAGG
rnacentral:rRNA from 1 species